AUUGAACGAUGGCGGCAGGUCUAACACAUGAACGUCGAACGAGUGGCGGACGGGUGAGUAAUGUCUGGGAAACUGCCUGAUGGAGGGGGAUAACUACUGGAAACGGUAGCUAAUACCGCAUACCCUCGGAUGUGCACAGACGGGUUUAGCUAGUAGGUGGGGUAACGGCACACCUAGGCGACGAUCCCUAGCUGGUCUGAGAGGAUGACCAGCCAAACUGGAACUGAGACACGAGCCAGACUCCUACGGGAGGCAGCAGUGGGGAAUAUUGCACAAUGGGCGCAAGCCUGAUGCAGCCAUGCCGCGUGUAUGAAGAAGGCCUUCGGGUUGUAAAGUACUUUCAGCGGGGAGGCGUUACCCGCAGAAGAAGCACCGGCUAACUCCGUGCCAGCAGCCGCGGUAAUUC
rnacentral:rRNA from 1 species